GGGCAGAUGUUCGAGUGGUUAAGAAGUCAGACUCAAGCGUAUACGCUUAUUCCGAACAGGAAUUUCUGAUGUGCUGACGCGCGCCAGGGUUCGAAUCCCUGUCUGCUCA
rfam:Trichosporon oleaginosus strain IBC0246 unplaced genomic scaffold CC85scaffold_33, whole genome shotgun sequence.